CCCUGCAACCACGCCAAGGACGUCACGGCCCCGCCCAGUAACCAUGGAGACGCGGCGCCGCGGGCGGGGCGGCAGCCUAGAGCGGCCCCGGAGAGUGAAAACGGAACUGCAGGUGACUUCGGAGCCCAGCCGCCUCUGAAGGGAGGGCAGGGAGGGCGGGGAGGAUGCGCGCCCCGUGAGGACUGGUGCGGGCUUUUCACGAGAUAUCGGUUUUGUUUUCACGGCGCAGAGAGCCCUUUUGCUAUACAGGGUUUAUUCCUUGCCUAGGGAACUGGAGUUUCCGGGUUUGCCCUACAAUAUACACACUUUGUACUGUGCAUUUCGUAUAUGAACGGUGCUCAGUGUUUGUGAUUGGAUGACUCCUCAGGUUCCAAGCCUAGAGAAUGGAGAACAAAAGUAUACCUCCUGACAAAAGCAGCGUGGUUUGGUGACUGGGUGAUUUGAAGUCCUGGUCCACCAUUUAUGACAGUAUAUGUAAACGUGCCCAGCACAAUAUUUUACAUAGAGCAGAAUUUCAUAUCCAUGAAGGCUGGGACUGCUUUGUGCACUGUAUCAACAUCCACAUCCCAACAUCUAAAAUACUUCUGGGCCCCUACUAGGUUCUCAAUUAAUAUUUGCUGAAUGAAUGAAUGAGCCAGUGAAGAAGAUAAGCUGCCCUAGAUUGAGAAAAACAAUGGCUGUGAUAUGGAAACCAAGGAAGAAGUAUUUUAAGGAGGAAAGUGUUCCGUAGAUGUGCCAUGGAAAUGGCCACUGAAUCUGGCUGGAAACGAUAUGACUGAUGUAAGCACAAAGCAGGUCACAGGGUUAUCAAGCAGUGCUAUAGAGUUGCACUGGUCAGUGUGGCAGCCACUAGCUGCAUGUGACUAUUAAGCAUCUGAAAUGCUUGCGUAAAGCACUGGCUUAAAUAUAACAAAGUUCAACUGGGUAAUAUUGUAGGGGUAAUAGUAGCCAAGUAUGGCUGGGUAGCCCAGUUGGUUAGAGCAUGGUCCCAAUGCACCAAGCUUUCAGUUCGAUCCCCAGUCAGGUAUAUGCAAGA